AGCGGAGGCGCCGCCAGCUCCGCGCUCCGCCACUGCCCAGGCCGGCGGGCGGCACUCGGACCCGCCGCCCUCGGUCCCUCGCGAGGCCACGGAGGCCAACACGCCUCGCACGGGGGGACAGCGCGGGGGCAGCCGUCCAAACACCAGGCGUCCUCGGCUGGUCGUCCCAGGGCGCCCGCACCUCUCCGCCCGCGCUCUCCUGCCGCCGCGCCCCCAAGCCCCCAAACUCCGAGGCGCUGCGGCGGAGGGGCCGGGCUGAGCGCAGGCAGGGUGGCCCGGGCCCAGGAGCCUGACGGCCUGAGUGCGGAUUUCUCAUCUGAGUAUCUGGGAAUCGAGAAUGAAUUGGAAGGAAACCGAGGCGCUGCCCUGGCCAGGUUGCUGCCCCGCACCCUUCCGGAGCACCGAAGUCCUGCCCGGCAACGGGACUUGGAGCUGCCGCAGAGUCAGCCUGAGCCCGAGGCAGGGGUCGCGCCCGCGAUGCGGGGUCUCUGCGCCGCCCCGCGAGGCUCCUGGCCUUGCCCUCCCUGCCCUUUGUUGUGUAAUAAGACCUGUGGCGGCUCCACUGAGACCCACACGUGCAACUCCGCGCCUCCGCGUUAAAGGAGGUGAAACGCAGCAGCCCUGAGAAACCCCGAGACCCCGGUGUCCUAGCAGAGGCGCCCCGGAUGGGGAGGGGCGCGGGGCCGGCGCCACCCCAGAGGAAAAGCCCAGCGGAGCCGGGUUGGGCAGGAGCUGGCGGCGGCGGUGCGCUGGGCCUUCUGCCUUGGAUCCUCCGCGGUCGGCACCGCUUCCCUGCUCAGAUUCGAACCCAGAUUCGGCUCCCAAGGCUCCCACGGCUCCAGGGUGCCCAGUCUUGCAGCCAGCUCGCCGCCCGAGCCCCGGAUGGAGGAAGCGCUCACUGGCCGCUACCUCUGCUGUUUCUGGCACCAGAGAUUGAGACUGUGAACCUGAACUCCCUUGAUCUCCUCCCGUUGGGCCCAGGAGGGAGCCGAAUCCAGGCCCAACCGGGCUCACUGAGAAGAACCUUUAAAAAUCCGCCAACGAAUGCUGUUGCCUGGAUGCGCUGCCUAUGACCUUCAGCCGUGUGUUCACGCGCGCCCGCAGCCGUGGAGUGGCGGUCCCUCCUGCCGCCCGCAACCCCGGGGCCGCCGGUCUGCGCACACCGGGAGCAACUUCGUUACCCACAGCGCCCGCGUCCUGCGGCUCGCGCGGAACUGCGCGCGGGAAGGUGGCAGAGCGACGCUCCAGAACGCUGCUUGCGUAGACGCUGCCGCUGCCUUCAGAUCCCAAUUCGGCCGCGCGCGGGCGGGGCCCUGGCAGCAACGAAAAUGGCGAGCCUCGUAGCCUUCCGGGCCCGGCGGCCACAUUCCGGGAGUCGCCAGGUGGGAGCCCGCCUUCCGUGUCCCCAAACGCCCAGAGCCCGGGACACGGGCCGGCGGCCGGGUCACCAAGCCAGUUCCCGGAAUCGGCUCGCGCCGGAAUCCAGACUCGGCUUGCAAAGCCCGCUCCUGCCGUCUCUCCGCAGCGCGCCCUGCCCCCCACUGCCGGCCCUCUUAGCUUCAAAACCAAAUUUUGCCUUUCAUCCUGAGAGAUUAAUACCCCGCAGGUGAAACCGUGGAGACGGAGCUGCGGUGGGUUUCUUUUCCACGCCUCAGUUUCCUCGUCUGUGAAAUGGGACCAGGCGCGCCUGUGCUUCUCCGGGAGUUUAUUGCAGGGCUGGCUGGAGAGAAUGGCUGGGUGGAAGCUGCCAGGAGGAGGCCCAAGGCCGCCCACCCCGUGGGCCUCGUUUGCUGAGCGGGGGUCAGAGGCGUGCGGGACAGGGCGCGCCCCACGGCGGCUCUGGAGGCGGCCCGGCCCGUCCCUGUCUCCUCCCCUCGCUCCCCCUCCCCCGGCCUUCCCGGAACUCUCCUCGCCCGCUGGGUGGAGGAGGGGCGAGGGCCGACUCCGCCGCCCCUGGGGUCUCCCUCCUCCCACCCCCACCGCAGAGUCUGGCCCGCCCUGGGCUUUCCUCUCAGGUCCCUUUGGGUCUCCAGAAGCCCGGAGGUUUCGCGCAGACUCGAACCUGAGAUGACACCACCCAGCACCCCAAAUCCUGCAGAGUGUGGAGGGGAUCUGGGGAGAAGGCAGGGGCUGCCCGGGCGCUCUGGCUGCUGGGGGUGGGGGACAGGGCCUGCCGGGGAAGCGGGUCGGGGGAGGACUGGAGACCCAGGCUCCCCUAGGUACAACGAACCUCGCGGGAGGGAAUACGCCAUCCCCGUACCCACUUCCGAGGACGUAGGUCUUUUGGCACCGGCGGCAGCCGCGUUCCCACACAUCUGGGCGGGGCCCCGCAGCAUGGCCUGGGGAGCUGAGGCUUCGGGAUCCGGCACAAACUACCAUUCUAGGUGUAGACGGAGGAGGUGGGGUGUGGGAAGCAGGGGGCCAUGGUCUGAGCAGACCUUCUCACCUCUGGGCCUCCCACCUCCUGGGGCAGGACUUACGGGGAAGGACCCGAGGGGAGUGGGGUGUCCAUAGGGACACCCAAGGGUCUAUCCCUGCGAGCUUUGCUUUCUACUAAACCAAUAAUCGCAGUGGUGGUGGCAGUCGAGACACGGCUCAAAGAGCCGGCAAGAAUAGAGCAGAGACCAGGAUCGCCCCAGGCAGGGAAAAAAUGACCAGUUCUGUAGAGUGACCCGAAGGUGAUGGAAUCACUCGGGCGUCCUCCUGGGAAAGAGCUGCCUGCUCCCCCGCCGCCGCCAGUACACCGGCGCCCAUGCCCCGGGGGCUGGAGAGAGCAGCCAGGCACAGGUAACUCAAGAACUCCAGUCCCCUCACGGGUGCCGUGCUGUGGGGCGCCCUCACCCCCACACUUUGGGUCCCUGGGCCUCCUCAUCAAAGCAGGGGCCUGAGUGGCAGGAACACCCCUGUGUGCAGAAUAGUGCCCCCUGCAGCCCCCACAGGUCACCUCUUUGAGGACCUAGGUGGGGCCUGCCCUGGGGACUGGGGUGAAGAGGGCAGGUCCAGCCUUCAGCAGCCCCUCCCCCAUGACUUCAGUGGAAUUACAAGGGGAACACCCAGGGCAGCUCCCGUAGGCUGCACAAGGGAAGAGGGGAGGGCUUCUACUGAGGUGAAACAGUGACCCACCCCUCCCACACCGUCAGCCUCCCUCCCCUCUCCACCCUUCAGUGCUGGGACCCCAGGGCCCAUAGACAGCUGGGGGAGUGGGGAGACAGGAGGAACUCAAGCUCAGCUUCUGCCUCCUGUCUCCUGGGACCCUCGGGCAGCCCCUCCAGCUUCCUGGGAGUCCAAUUUCCCAAGGUAGAACGGUGGCGGCAGAGCCUGGCCCUGUGGUGGGGCAGCUGCACCCCGAUGAGUGGCUUGCAGUUCCUGGAGCCCUGCAGGUUGUUGGAGAGGCAGGGAGCCCUUCUCCCUCCUGCCUGCCCUCUUGCACUUCCUCUCCCAGAACCCAGCACUACUCCCAGAGGCUCUGAGCUGGAGCCCUAGAAGGUAACCACCUCCUGGCUGGACACAGGGCAAGUUGGGGCCAGGCGUGAGGACAGGUGCCCCAGGAGCCACCUGCUCCACUCAUCCACAAAGGCCUUAACUGGCUCAGGGGCCCCUAGCUCCCAGUCAAGCCCUGCCCUCCUGACCUUGUCCUGCCCUGGUGCUGCCAGUCGGGUGGAGAUGUCUAGGGGCCAGCUGGUCUCCUGGCAACUGAAGUCCGCGCUUCCCUUCCGUUCACUCAUUCCUUCCUUUCCUCAUGCAGGAGGCGCUGCAAGGCUCCGUGCUCCUGGAGCUUCGAGUCUAUGGUAUGAGUUAAACAGAAGGGUAUCUCCUCCAUCAGAUCUACAGGAGGGUGUCUGCUCCAUCAGACCUGGAGCUUCCAAGGCAUUUUACCCGAAGCUCCAGCACCUGGCCCAAGGCUGGGCUGUGCUGUGUCCUCAGUGAAAGAAUGGAUGAGUCACAGCUGAAUGACUGAAGAGCUGAACCAAUGGGAAAACUGAUGCUCAGAGGCUUGAGCAACCUAGGCCAGGACCUGUCCUUAGAGGCAGAAGCAGGACUCAGAGGAAGAGCACCCUGACCACAAAGCCCCAGGGUCCAGAAAGACUCAGCCACUGGAGUCUGUAUUUCCUGAGUCGCCUCUCACUGCUGGAGCUGUUUAUCAUCGCUCCAACUUUCACUAAAAAGGAAAAACUAUCACUUAAACAAAGCCAUUGAAACCCCAGCAUCAUGUGUGGAUUUUUUAACAUAAAUAAAUCAUACAAACUAA
rnacentral:lncRNA from 1 species